AAUCUUCCACAAUGGACGAACGUCUGAUGGAGCAACGCCGCGUGAGCGAAGAAGGNUUNNGGAUCNUNAAGCUCUGUUGCGAGNNNNNAACAAGUACGGNAGUAACUGCCCGUACCUUGACGGUACCUCGUCAGAACGCCACGGCUAACUCCGUGCCAGCAGCCGAGGUACAACGUAGGUGGCAAGCGUUGUCCGGAAUUAUUGGGCGUAAAGCGCGCAGGCGGUCCUUUAAGUCUGAUGUGAAAGCCCACGGCUCAACCGGGGAGGGUCAUUGGAAACUGGAGGACUUGAGUAAAGAAGAGGGAAAGCGGAAUUCCACGUGUAGCGGUGAAAUGCGUAGAGAUGUGGAGGAACACCAGUGGCGAAGGCGGCUUUCUGGUCUGUAACUGACGCUGAGGCGCGAAAGCGUGGGGAGCAAACG
rnacentral:rRNA from 1 species